rnacentral:tRNA from 1 species
GCCUGGGUGGCUCAGUUGGUUAAGCAUCCAACUUUGGCUCAGGUCAUGAUCUUGAGGUUUGUGGGUUCGAGCCCCACAUCAGGCU